rnacentral:rRNA from 1 species
UACGGAGGGGACUAGCGUUGUUCGGAAUUACUGGGCGUAAAGCGCGCGUAGGCGGAUUUGCAAGUCGGGGGUGAAAGCCCGAGGCUCAACCUCGGAACUGCCCUCGAUACUGCAAAUCUCGAGUCCGAGAGAGGUGAGUGGAAUUCCUAGUGUAGAGGUGAAAUUCGUAGAUAUUCGCAAGAACACCAGUGGCGAAGGCGGCUCACUGGCUCGGUACUGACGCUGAGGUGCGAAAGCGUGGGGAGCAAACAGG